GGAUCGCGCAGCGGCUGCUUCCUUUACCUUCCUCCCAUGGUCUCCUUCCGGUUCUCGAUGCUUCUCUGAGCCUAAGGGUUUCCGCCACUCGUUUACCCUCCCCCCAGCUCAUGAUCCUCCUCCCUCCCCCGCCCUCCUGGUCCAAUCUCCGAUCUGUUUAGUAAGAAGGUGCUGUUCCGAGAAGGAGAAGGAAAAGGGCUUGACACGUAUUCACUCGGCCCCGGACGUGGGAAGCAAGCCGUCUGGCUUCGGCCUCACAUCGGUCCUGUGCUCGGGACGGCGGCGUUGGCGGACUGAUCUGCGGCGGUGAAGAGGCAGGAGGAGGGGGAGGGGCGGAGCGUGGCAGCUGGCAGUAGUUCCGUCAGAGCGGACAUCUUGUGGCUGUGUCGUGCGCGCGCCUGUGUCUGGCAGAGCUGGUGUGAGACGAGACAAUCCUGCCCCGCCGCCGGGAUAAUCAAGAGUUUUGGCCGGACCUUUGAGCAUACACCGAGAGAGUGAGGAGCCAGACGACAAGCACACACUAUGGCGCUGAAACGGAUUAAUAAGGUAACCCGCG
rnacentral:lncRNA from 1 species